rnacentral:lncRNA from 1 species
CCCAAGUAGCUGGGACUAUAGGGUCGCACCACCACACCUGGUUGCAACGCUGGCCCUGGGACUUCAGGCACAUGACCCCACUCAGAAGAAACAAGACUGUGUGCCCAGCUCCCACAGCAGUCAAAUCCCUGCAGUGGGCUGCUCAUUCUACAUCACUCCUAGUGGUUCUGCUUCCUUAAACCCCAGCCAAACAAUGUGUCAUAAAGGUGAGACGUGGAAACAGGGAAGUUAUUGCCAUGAUUGCAUUUUACAUUUCAGACGUGGCCUCGCUGACCUCACUGGCAUCUGGGCUGGGGUACAAAGGUCCCAGCUUGGCCAGGCUGAUGUCUGCAAACCCCAGCCCUGACUGGCAGAUGGGCCAUGCCUCUGACCAUCUCUCCUGCCCACUGGACCACUUUAACGUACUCUUUCCAUCUCAAGCACAGGAACAAUUCCCUUCUGGAAUGUUCCUCCUUCUGAGGCUUUGAGAAGGCUCACUCUGGGGAGCGGAUGGGCUGGGUUGGCCUCCUCUGCAUCUGCAUUCCCGUGGGAACCAGCUGCACUACUUCCAGAAACGCCCUGCCCCAGUGGGUCCUUGGUGCUGGGCCCACCUUCCAGUAGGUUUCAAGAACUGUGUGCCCAUAAAUAAAUCCUCCAAAGAGAUGCCAAUCAGCAGGUACCACCAAAUUGUCCCUGGAAGUGACUUUUCUGUAGGAAUCCAUUAUUUCUGAAUUGAAUGGAGGGAAUCUCUGAUCUCCUU